GUUUGUUUUCUCUUAUUUUUGAGUGUAAAUUGACAUUGCGAUAAGACGUGUCACGGUACUUGUCUAUCCCUAAUUCAUGUAUUUGAUUUUGAUGUUAUAUUUGUUAUUCUCGUGGGAUUUUGUCUGAUGCUUGGCCCGUUUCUGUGUGUGUUACAUUGUAGUUUUGUGUCGUUGUUCUCCUCUUAUAUUUAUGCGUUUCCCUCAGUUUUAGUUUGUUACCCG
rnacentral:lncRNA from 1 species